UACGUAGGUGGCAAGCGUUGUCCGGAUUUAUUGGGUUUAAAGGGUGCGUAGGCGGCUUUGUAAGUCAGUGGUGAAAUACGGCAGCUCAACUGUCGAGAUGCCAUCGAUACUGCAGAGCUAGAGUACUGAUGAGGUAGGCGGGAUGGACGGUGUAGCGGUGAAAUGCUUAGAUAUCGUCCAGAACACCGAUAGCGAAGGCAGCUUACUAAAGAGUAACUGACGCUGAGGCACGAAAGUGUGGGGAGCAAACAGG
rnacentral:rRNA from 1 species